GCCGGCCCGCGGCACCGCCCACGGAGGAGGGAGCUGGAGGCGUUUGCAGCGGGAGUGCGAACGUGCGCCUGGGAAGAGGGAGGUUUCAUUUUCGUAUUACUGUGACUGACCACGUGACAGAAAUCAGCAGGGAGAAAGACUUUAUCUCACCCUUAGGAGGGAUCCUCAGCCCCUCAUGGAGGGGAAGGUUUUCUCAGUUUGCCUGAUCUCCUGAGGGGAGACAUGUCAUGAGCUUCACUUUGGAAAGGUCCACUCAGCAGAAGCUGCCACGAGUCAUGAAGAAAGCAAGGCCCUCAUCCAACAAGCUAUGAAGAAUCUUGCCAAUAACCAUAUAUGUAGCUUAGAAAUUUAUCAACCUUGGGUUAUAUUAGAAACUCUGUAUUUAAUUAUAGAUAUAAUAUAAUAUAUAUAUUAUUAUAUUAGAAACUAUAGCAGAAGACCUAAAGUAACCAUGAUAG